UACGUAGGGUGCGAGCGUUAAUCGGAAUUACUGGGCGUAAAGCGUGCGCAGGCGGUGAUGUAAGACCGAUGUGAAAUCUCCGGGCUUAACCUGGGAACUGCAUUGGUGACUGCAUUGCUGGAGUAUGGCAGAGGGGGGUGGAAUUCCACGUGUAGCAGUGAAAUGCGUAGAGAUGUGGAGGAACACCGAUGGCGAAGGCAGCCCCCUGGGCCAAUACUGACGCCUCAUGCACGAAAGCGUGGGGAGCAAACAGG
rnacentral:rRNA from 1 species